rnacentral:rRNA from 1 species
GGAUUUUAUUUGUAGUAAUACCGAUAAAAUCUAGUGGCGGACGGGUGCGUAACACGUGAGCAAUCUGCCGGGAAGUGGGGGAUAACUCGCCGAAAGGCGAAUUAAUACCGCAUAUGGCCAAGGAAGACAUCUUCCCAAAGCCAAAGUCGCAAGACGCUUCCUGAUGAGCUCGCGGCCUAUCAGCUAGUUGGUGAGGUAACGGCUCACCAAGGCUAUGACGGGUAGCUGGUCUGAGAGGACGACCAGCCACACUGGAACUGAGACACGGUCCAGACACCUACGGGUGGCAGCAGUCGAGAAUUUUUCACAAUGGGGGAAACCCUGAUGGAGCGACGCCGCGUGGAGGAUGAAGGUCUUCGGAUUGUAAACUCCUGUCAAAUGGGAACAAGAAAGUGAUAGUACCAUUAGAGGAAGAGACGGCUAACUCUGUGCCAGCAGCCGCGGUAAUACAGAGGUCUCAAGCGUUGUUCGGAUUCAUUGGGCGUAAAGGGUGCGCAGGCUGCGGGGUAAGUCGGAUGUGAAAUUUAGGGGCUCAACCUCUAAACUGCAUUCGAUACUGCUCUGCUAGAGGA